AAACUUGACCGGGGGAACAUGAAUAUGUUACGCUCGUGCCGUUGCCUUUGGUGGCAACUAUGGUGAUAAAUGGCUUGCGUAAUAAGCGUUGUGGACCAGGGGGCAGUACCCUGCGCCUCCGCCAGUGGUGUUGUUUCUGGGGGUGAAAUAGGUUCGACAUGGCGUGGUAAAGGUAAUUCUUUCACUCGGCAUUGUACCGUCGUUAUCGGACUAAAGAAAAUAGAUGCUAAUCUUAAAAGGAGGCGCAUGCUCGUUCGGAAUCUCCAGAGGGGACGCCGGAGGGCGAAGAUGGCAGCUUAAAGUUACCUGUAUAGGUCUUUAAGUAUCACGCUUCGCCUGCUGUCCGUUAAUAGCGGCAGUAGAGUGGCGGUUUGGGGGAUCCCGAGCAACAGAAUUCCCCCGCU
rnacentral:tmRNA from 1 species